rnacentral:tRNA from 1 species
UGUUGCUAAUCUGGGCCAGACACAUGCUCUUCACCUGGUCUUCUGGUCUGCAUGGUGAGGUAUCCAUGCUGGGAAGGCAUUGUUCCUGCUCUGCCCUUUCCCUGGGUGAUGUGAAGCUGCACUGGACAAAUACCAGUAGCAGUUGAUAUUGUUGGCAGAUGUGGUUUUGACAAAACUACUCAGCCACCAGGAUGAAGCAGGUGCACAUGCUCAGGGUUCCCUUAGUGCUUGACUCAGAGGUGACUCCCUGAGUACCUGAGGGAGUCCCAGGACUGUGAUUAUACCUGGAAGACUGCACCAGGGCCAGGCCUCACCCCUGCCUCUGCUGGGGCCCACAGUCUCCUACGUGGAUGCACAUGUCAUGCUGGGCUAGGCUUCUGGCAGAAAAAAAUGCCGCCAAUGCUGAGCAGUUGGGCUAUUCCCCUGGAAGGUGGCAGAAAUGUGGGUGCAGAGUUUCCUCUGAGUAACUUUUGUCCUUUGUCUUGGGUUAGGUCUGCCUAAUCCUGCCCUUCAGGCCCUGUGCAAACUCAUCACUGCCUCUGAGACAGGCGAGCAGCUCAUCAGCCGGCUCCACCAGGUGCUGGUCCAGCUGCAGGCUGGUGAGAAGGAACAGGACUUCACCUCGGCUCCCAUUCAGGUUUCCAUCAGCGUCCAGCUAUGGCGGCUCCCAGGAUGCCACGAGUUCCUGGCGGCUCUCGGUUUUGAUCUCUGUGAGGUGGGUCAGGAGGAAGUUAUCCUGAAAACUGGGAAACAAGCAAGUCGGCGCACCAUGCACUUUGCGCUCCAGUCCCUGCUGUCUCUCUUUGAUUCCACUGAGCUCCCCAAGCGCCUCAGCCUGGACAGCUCAUCCUCCCUGGAGUCACUGGCCUCAGCCCAGUCUGUCUCUAAUGCUCUGCCCUUGGGCUAUCAGCAUCCACCCUUUUCACCCACCGGGGCCGAAAGCAUUGCCUCUGAUGCCAUCUCGGUGUACAGUCUGAGCUCCAUCGCUUCCUCCAUGAGCUUUGUCUCCAAACCCGAGGUGGGAUCAGAAGCUGGAGGCCCCAGAGGGCGGCAGGACUACGACAGGCCCAAGAACAGUUACCCCCAGGGAUCUACCCUGCCGCGGAACCAGUUAUCCCCACAGACCCAUCCUGCCGACAGCAAAGAAGAGGAGGAAUAUGAAGGUUUCUCCAUCAUCAGCACAGAGCCCCUGGCAGCCUACCAGGAGAGUAAAAAGACACGCUUCUCCCCAGACCACAGGCAGCCCCGCACUGGGGCAGCUCCAGGUGUGAAGGUUUCAGUUAGCUCCAAGGGCAGCAUGAGCACUCCAAAUUCCCCAGUGAAGAUGACUCUGAUCCCUAGCCCAAACUCACCCUUCCAAAAGGUGGGGAAGCUAGCAAGCUCAGACACAGGCGAGUCAGACCAGUCCAGCACCGAGACAGACAGCACAGUGAAGUCCCAAGAAGAAAGCACCCCACAGCUAGAUCCCCAGGAGUUGGCCCAGAAAAUCCUAGAGGAGACGCAAAGUCACCUUAUUGCAGUGGAGCGUCUUCAGAAGAGUGGCAGUCAGGUGGGCAAGAUUCACAAUCGGGAAGAUGGUGUGUCAGUGCCAAAUAACAGUGCCACUGUCUUCAGGGCGUCGGAAACAAGCGCCUUCAGCAGACCUGUGCUAUCCCAUCAGAAGAGCCAACCAUCCCCAGUCACUGUCAAACCAAAGCCCCCAGCCAGGAGCUCAUCCCUGCCCAAGGUGAGCUCUGGAUACAGCAGCCCUACCACCUCGGAGGCAUCCCUCAAAGACAGUCCAAGCCAACACAGUGGCCGCCCGUCCCCCAGCUGUGACUCCCAGGCCUCCCUGUCUGAUCAGCCACUCUUUAAACUAAAGUACCCCAGCUCUCCUUACAGUGCACACAUUUCCAAGUCACCACGGAACAUGUCGCCAAGCUCCGGCCACCAAUCCCCUGCUGGCAGUGCCCCAUCACCUGCACUCUCCUACUCCUCAGCAGGCUCUGCAUGCUCAAGUCCGGCAGAUGCUCCUGACCUAGACAAGCUGAAGCUGGCAGCCAUCGACGAGAAGGUACAGGCUGUGCACAACCUAAAGAUGUUCUGGCAGAAUGCAGCCCCGCAUUCCACAGGCCCCAUGAAACCAUCGAGAGGGCUUCCAGGAACUAUGGCCACCAAAAGAGAUGUGUUCAGCCUGCUAAACUUGUCACCUCGGCACAACAAGAAGGAGGAAGGGGCAGAUAAGCUGGAACUUCAGGAGCUGUCUCUGCAGCGGCGGGAUGAGGUGCCUCCCAGAGCCCCUCCCAACGGCCACUGGCGCGCUGAGACUACAGGGCUGGGCCCGCUGCUGCCCACUGGCCCUCUCGCCCCAGCACCCGAACGCCCCCUAAGACUCCCUUCUGCUAAUGGCUAUAAGUUCCUAUCCCCGGGAAGGUUCUUCCCUUCUUCCAAAUGCUGAAGCAUCUUUCUGCCCACCAAUUCAGCGCACAGCAGCAUGGACAGGGUCCUGAGGUCCCUUGGGCUGUCCCCUCAUCUAGUGCAGUCAUCCCACACAGCCACCAGCACCACCUCACGAGGCUGGGCUCUCUGGGCGAGGGGCUGUCCCACACCCACAGCCAGCUGUGCCCACCUGGGGCUCCUCUGGGCCAGAUUCACCCAAAGCCAGGACUUCUGUGGGGUGGGUACAGAAGGCUCGUGGCAUUUUCUACACUCUUCACCAAAUGUUUACCUUGAACUCCCUGCUUCUCAUCUUUGAUGUGAUUCUUCAACAGGAUUUUGUACAAAACUGGUCACGGUUCUGGGAAGGGAGAGGAAAUGGAGCACAUAUUUUGCUAAGAGGUCUAUACCUUUUAUACACAGGAGUGCAGACAGAGCUUUUCUAAGGCCUUUAAGUGCUGGUUGGGGGUGGGAUAUAGAAAGUUUCAGUGGAAUUCUACAUGCAAAUCUUAUAUUAGCCAAAAAAAGAAUGAUGGUUUUUAAAAUGCCAAUGAUUUAUAAUGAAAUGGUAGCAAUUUUGGUCUCCUGAUAUUGUAACAUUCCAGCAACAAUGCAAUAACUCACAUUGAAACAGUGCUUCCAGCCUGAACUGCUCUGCUCCAUCAAGCUCUGGGCCCUACUAUCAGCCAAACUUGAAUUUUCUUAAAAAGUUUAUGUAACCCUUAUCUAGGCAUUUUAGAACUAUGCAAUUUGUGAUUUAAAAUGCAACUUUGUGCUUUUAAAACAUUACUGACCUUUUUUGUACAUGGAUAAACAACUUGGUUUUAUUAUCAAUAGUACUUUGCAUUUAUAGCCAUUAUUUUUAAAAGCUCAGAAAGUUUUUUAAAAUAUCAAAUUUUGAAUAGUCAUCCACCAUAAGCAAUUAUCAAGUUUGAGGGGAAAGGUUGAAAUUAUUCCUUUUGCUUAUUAAGCAAAAAAAAAUUUUUAAACAUUUUUAAAAUAAAAAUAAAAAUCCUCUGGCUAACUAGAUUGAACCAGAACCUCUCCUUCCAUCUCCCAUUCCCUUGUAUUAGCUGCUUAAUUGUAUUCUCUUUUCCCAACUCCAGGUCCUGCAAACCUCUUCUAUCUCAGUCCGUUGCCAGGUUCCCACAGCUCCAGGGCCUGUCCCUCAGCAAGCUGCCUCAGCCACUGCAGAAGACUCCUGUCUGUACCCUAAGGGGCAGGGCACCUUUGGCUGCCAUGUACACCGAAUUAGCACUAAACAGAGAAGUUGAUAUUAACCAUAGAAAAUGAAGGUGGGCUUUUCCUACAGCUAUGACAGUGUACUUAAGGACCAGACAAGGGAAUAGUUUAGAUAGGGGUGACCAUUAAUUUAUUUAAAAUAAAGAAAUGAAAUGUUGAAAAUCAUAUUAGUACUAAGUUUAGAUGGAGAAUUUAAGUAUCUCUUAGAUCAUUCUAAAGUCAAAAUCCUCCAGUCUCAUUUUGAGGGUAUGUCAUAUAAGGGUGUGCAGCCACCUGGCCCAAAACAUCAGCAGCAUACAGAGGGGACAUACAGGGCCUGGCAGGAGGCACAUGAACAUCAAGACCCCCAGGUGCAGUUUGGGCCUUGGGUGAGCUCCACUUUGUAAGCAUAUACUGUCCACUUCACCUGUUCCUUAAUAUACUCUUCUGAAGAAAGGAUAGUAUUUACCGAGUUUGUGUUAUUCUCAUGAACUACAUCAUAGAGGGUUUUGCAUUUAACCCAACAACCAUGUUGACAAACAGUAAGGAUGGCACAUUCUAACUCUGACCCCAACACUGAAAGAGAAAUGUUUUAUAAAGCAUUUAGCAAAUUUAAAGAUGUCUUUAUGUAAGGAAAAAAUAAUAAUGAAAGUACCAGUGUAGCAAAGGAAAGCCAAAUUUAUAGCACUGUGCAUUUAAAUAAUGAAAUCAGGUCCUCAGCAACAAAGAAUACACCUCAAAGCAAGCGUGUAAGCCCACGUAUUGAUGGCUGAGCAUCCCUUCCUCAGCACAUCUCCCCAGCCUCUUUCCCAAGUGCCCAGGAGCCCUGUAGGAAAGACCCAUCUGUGCCCCACCUGUGGGCAUGGCCUCAUUUGCUCAGCACUAGUAAAUCUCUCCACCCCAGCCAACUUCCUGUGGUUAUCAAGCUAGCUAGGAAAACUUAUGGACUGACCUGGCUUUCAUCCCAAGUACAUUGUUGUUUUUGGUUUCAUCCUCAAGAGCCAAAUAGAAUUUUUUUCAUUGUCCUAGACAUAAGUUUCAAUGAAGGAAAAACAAAGUUGAUAAAAUAAUAUGAUCAAUCUAAAGAUCACCAGAAUCAUUGUUUCUUUAUGUUUACUGUCUGUCAGACUUGGUGUUUUUUUUAAGAGUAAAAUGUAUAUAAAAAUUCUAAAAUCAAAGUGAGUUUUUUAGCCUACACUGAAAAAAUUAUGCACUUAAAAUUAUGUGAGAUUGUAUAAUUCACACAUAUUUCUUUGUAUAGAUCAGGGGUUGGCAACUAUGACCCACAGGCUAAAUCUGGUAAGCCAUCUGGUUUUUAUGGCCAUAGGCUUAAAUUUUUAUCUUUUUGAAUGAUUACGGAAGUACCUACAUAACAGUCUUGAUUUUGCCUCUUAGUCCACAAAACCUAAAGUAAAGAAUUUCAAACCUUUUUUUUCCUUCUUUUUGGUGGUACUGAGGAUGGAACCCAGGGCCUCAUGCAUGCUAGGUAUGUGCUCUAUUAUUGAGCGACAUCCCCAGCCCUUUUUAUUUUCUACUUUAAGAAAGAGUCUCCCCUAGGCUAGCCUUCAACUUGAAAUCUUCCUGCCUUAGCCACUGUAUCUGACUAACACCUGGCCUUUUAAGAGAAAGUUUACCAAUUCGUGGUAUAGAUGACAGGCAACACAACUGGAAUAAUGUUUUGUUUCUGCAAGCCAGGACAAAAGAGUGUUGGGAAGUAGAUUAAGAUCAAUAGGCAUGAUGAGACCCUGAGCACAAAAGGGUCAUGAGGACUAGAGCAAGUAACAUCUGCUUACCCACUGACUUCCUCUCUCGUAGAAGAGUAAUGGGUGUUGAUAAAAUUUACAAAAAAAAGAUUUUUUGCUUUCCAUUUGCAAAUAGCAUUGAAUCUAUUUCAUUUUAGCUCAGGAACCUGGAAAGCCUUGCCCUACUCUAUUUCAUCAGAUGCAAAAGAUAAGCAAUAAAAUCUUCUCUUAGAAACCUUGGUAGGACCGCAAAGCAAGGUUGUAGGCUGUCUUGAUUCUCACUAGUGAACUUCAGACUACUUUGAUGUUUUUAACCAAGUCAGAAUACCAUGGGAAAAUUAGCUACUAAAACUUAAAUUUGAUCCACUUUUAUGUGCAGCGAUAUGAAUUAGUUUUUACCUCCAACCCAUUUUUUAAAAAUCCACAGUCCACUCUGCUAGGGGAUGAGGUACUGCUGACAUGGUCCUGACCCUGCUCUCACCUGCCCAGGGGCCCUCCAGUGGGCAAGCACAUGCAGGUUCCCUGUCUGUCCUCUAUGUAGCUCUGCUAGUUUGGGUUCAAGUUGGACAAAUAUGCAAUAAUCUGGUUUGCUUUAGUAAGUAGGCAAAAGGUAAAAUUGUAUAAUUUUCAUCACAUAUUGUAUUGUUUUAUCUGAACCCAUUGUACAUGUGGUUUGUGAACUAGGCCCUUGUGUGUGCCAGACCCCUCAGCGAUAUUUCCUGUCAGCCCCCAGCCCUUCGCCCUCCUCAGCCACCUUCCCCACUUGCCACUCAUGCUCUUAAAUGCAGUGUUAGCCAUUUUUGGCCUACAUGGACUGUUUUUGUAAAUUACACAGUUUCCAGAUGGCGUUAAACUUUUUAUAUUACAAAAUUUGCCAUGUAAAAAGAACUUCAUAUUUUUGAGACUGCUAAGGCACUUGGCCUUCUUCCUUUGUGAUUUCAAUGUCUAUUAAAGCAUGAGUUCCCUCGGUUUUAAGUGCUGUUUCUGAAUUUCUUUCUAUACACACCCUACUCUUUCUAAGCUUCUUCUGAUACGCAGAGUGGUGGAGGUCAUGAAAGAGUAUGUGCUCCUGAUUGGGGCACUGCGCCUCAUAGGCACCUGGGGGAGGGUGCAUGGUAGAGCCACCCUGAUGCCAGCACAGGAUGGGGGUAUUGGCAUGGAUGGCUAACUGCUCCUACAUUCUGUAAUCACAGUUGGAGGACCAGAAAAUUCUACAGUGAGAAGUGUUUAGACAGAGAAAAACAGAAUUCAGCGUCAUUGGAUCCCCACACCCAAGGACACUUCCAAAGAAAGAAGGGAACUAAUCCCAUAGGUAAAAGUCUAAGAAGCAUGACAGAUAUUGAACAAACAAUGAGAUAAAUGUUAAUAAAACAGUAUAAAAAGUGACACCUUAUGUGGGCAACAAUAAAAAAAUACUAGAUAGUAACAUGUAAAACAAAGGGGUAGGUGUUAAAAUGUAAGUAUGGGAAGAGAAGAAACACUACUUUUAGAAUAAGUUAAAGAUGUAUGAUCACACACAAAGAAGUAGAGGUUGUAUUUCUAGUUAGUGGGAAAGAAAUACAUUAAUUUUCAUAAACCUUGAUGAUCUAAAGCAACAGAAAAAGGAAACAACAACAAAACAAGCAAAAAGCAGGACAAAUAUGCAGUAAGAUAAAAAUAAAAUAUCAGCAAUGGUAAAUAUGUGUGAACUAAACAAAAAGUAGAUUGACAGAUGAUGACAAUAUGCUAUAUUCUCUUCAUUAAUAUUAUUUAGGAAAAAACCCCACCAGCACAUAAUGCCCUCAAAUAUCUGAUAGUGAAAGUGUAAGAAAAAUAAAGGUUAAAGUGAAAGGCACUAAUAAAGAAGAUCCAUUCCUUAUAAUGAACUUAGCAAAAAGGCACAAUUUUAAAUUUGUAUGCAACUAAUUUUACAGCCUUAAAAUUAAUAAAGGAAAAACUUAGAUGUACAAGUUUGGAAAAUACAUUAUCA